CCACGUGGACCCGUAUAAAAAAAAUCGCCUCUAAUCUCUACUACUUCCACUUCCGCGCCGGCCAUGGCCGCCGCGUCCGCCGCGGCCUUGCUCCUCCUCCCCGUCUCCCCCGCGGCCCCCAGGCACCCGCACCACCUCCUCUUCUCCUCCUACUCCCCCUGCCGCUCGCCUCGCCGCGUUCGCCUCGCGCGCCCCGCGGCCUCCAAGGGCGAUGGCGGGGGCGGCGUCGUCGCGGGGGGAGGAGGAGGAGGAGGAGGAGGAGGGGGCGUCUUCCUCUCGCCGCGCGCGCUGUCGCAGCUGGACGAGCUCGCCGCCUUCCGCUACGCGCACUCCUUCCCGCACGGCCGCCUCACCGUGCGUGCCCUCACCCCCGCCGACGACGACGAGUCCGACUCGCUCGUCCGCCUCCUCGCCUCGUCCUUCGCCGAGAACGUCAGGUGGGCCCCCGCGCAGAGGUACGAGCAGCUCCUCGCGUUCGUCAUCCGCCGCUACCUCUACGAGCGCCGCGGCCUCGCGCCCCACGCCGCCGUGCUCGUGGGUUACUACCGGCCCGCCGCCACGGGAGACGUGGAAGAGGAGGGGGAGGGGGAUGAGGGCGAUGGGGACUACGGGGAGAUGGCGUGCACGGCGGAGGUGUCGCUGGACGCGAUGGGCGCGCCCGGGGCCCCGCCGACGCCCACGCCGCCGCUUGAGUUCCCGUACAUUUGCAACAUGACUGUCAAGACGUCGUUGAGGAGGAGAGGAAUUGGGAAGCAACUUCUUAAGGCAUGUGAGGAUCUGAUUAUCAAGAUGGAUGCCAACAGGCGUGUAUAUCUGCACUGUAGGAUAAUCGACCAAGUUCCAUUCAACAUGUACAGGAAAGCAGGAUAUAACAUUGUCCAGACUGACAGUAUUUUGAUUUGGCUUAGCCUUCAAAAACGCAAGCACUUGAUGAGCAAGGAAUUACUGCAAACGUCUGUUAGCAACGAGAAUACAACCAAAGACUUUGAUGAUAACAUUUUGACAAGCUGAACAUGCUAGAGCACCAUCAGAUUGCAGUCUUCUGCAUUGUCGUCAGGACCUAAAUAAAGACAAAAUCAUCAGUACAUGAAUUUCUUGGACAGACAAGUUUGUUGCUCUUGAUACUAUUAGGAUUUUCCAUAGCCAGACAGAAGAUUAUCUGAAAGGUAAGAAAGCAUUCAAAACUACAGAGACAGACAGGCUUGGAUGUAGGUCUACAACUACUGAUGUGCAGCAGCAUCUGAUCGAUGGUGGAGGGCUCAUCACGGAUCAAAUAAUCAGUCCAUUAGGAUGAACGGCCAGUUGGUGUCGCUCGGUGACAUUAUGAUCCGAGGCCUGCAGUUUGAUUGAUAUUACGAAGUAGCAUGGCCGGCAGGCCUACUUUAAGCUUCAGUUCGUGGUUUGGUAUUCCAGGGAACCUUAAGGUAUUGAGGAACUCGGUAGGAUACAUGUGCUCCAUGUUGGUGUUGUUUGUCAUCGCUUUGCACACGGUGUUAAAACUUAGGCCAUUUUGGAUUGCACGUGAAUGUUGUAAAGAUGUCUGGAUACCCAACCCAACGACAGAUUGCCAUUGCAUCAUGGAAGUUUUGAGCCUUGUUUCUUCUGCUUCCUGUAAAACUUGACGGCAAUAUUAUUCUUUUCCCAACUUGCUCAGUUCUCGUGUCCCCUCGCUCGAUCGCAUCAUGCAGUCCACUGUAAAGUUCAGUUCUUAGUUUUCCUUGAUUAUGCCUAAUCCAAUUUAGUCUGGUCUGCUCAAUGCAUGUAAAUACGUCAACCCAGAAUUGCAAAUUUAGAUGACCACUCAUCAAUAGCAACAUUGAUUGGUCUUGGCGUUGAUGCAAGUAGUAAGCAUAGUAUUAAAGCAUAGUUACAUAUUCCCUAGUGUAUGUAGCACCAUCUUUUGUUCGAUAUGGUAUUUUUAGUGUAAAACCGUCUUCUCCAUAUGGGAACAGUAAUGGAUACUGUAAGGACAUGAACUUUGGAUGGAUUUCUGAUAUCCUUUGAGGCAUCAUAUCUUUAUACUCGACAAUGAUGUCGCGUCCUUCGCUUUCAUCGGUCGGAUCUUUUACAACCAAGGCUGCAACUUCAGAAGCUGAUGGCAAGCCAUGUGUUCCAUGCUGCCCCCUUUUACUUAUCAACUUUAGUGUGUAAUCAUGGUAGUCAUCUUCUUGGAACCUAUCCCUUGCCAUUCUGAAUGAUUUUGCCAAUAUAUUAUUGUCAUCUAGCAUUUUUUGCAGUUCUGAA